GUGAAGCUGGAUUCGCUAGUAAUCGCGCAUCAGCCAUGGCGCGGUGAAUACGUUCCCGGGCCUUGUACACACCGCCCGUCAAGCCAUGGGAGCCGGGGGGUGCUUGAAGUGCGUGACCGCAAGGAGCGUCCUAAGGCAAUACCGGUGACUGGGGCUAAGUCGUAACAAGGUACC
rnacentral:rRNA from 1 species